rnacentral:rRNA from 1 species
GACGAACGCUGGCGGCGUGCCUAAUACAUGCAAGUCGAACGGACGUAUGGGAGCUUGCUCUCCGUCCGCCAGCGGCGGACGGGUUAGUAACACGUGGGCAACCUGCCUGUAAGACUGGGAUAACUCCGGGAAACCGGGGCUAAUACCGAAUAACUCUUUCACUCCCUAAAGGUAAAUCUGAAAGAUGACCUCUCGCUAUCACUUCCAGACGGCCCCGCGGCGCAUUAGCUAGUUGGCAGGGUAACGGCUUACCAAGGCGACGAUGCGUAGCCGACCUGAGAGGGUGAUCGGCCACACUGGGACUGAGACACGGCCCAGACUCCUACGGGAGGCAGCAGUAGGGAAUCUUCCGCAAUGGGCGAAAGUCUGACGGAGCAACGCCGCGUGAGUGAUGAAGGUCUUCGGAUCGUAAAACUCUGUUGUCAGGGAAGAACGAGUGCCGGAGUAACUGCCGGUGUCUUGACGGUACCUAACCAGAAAGCCACGGCUAACUACGUG